AGGAAAAGAAACUAACAAGGAUUCCCCUAGUAACUGCGAGUGAAGCGGGAAAAGCUCAAAUUUAAAAUCUGGCAGUCUUUGAUUGUCCGAGUUGUAAUCUAGAGAAGUGUUAUCCGCGCUGGACCGUGUAAAAGUCUCCUGGAAUGGAGCAUCAUAGAGGGUGAGAAUCCCGUCUUUGACAUGGACUACCAGUGCUUUGUGAUGCGCUCUCAAAGAGUCGAGUUGUUUGGGAAUGCAGCUCAAAAUGGGUGGUAAAUUCCAUCUAAAGCUAAAUAUUGGCGAGAGACCGAUAGCGAACAAGUACCGUGAGGGAAAGAUGAAAAGAACUUUGGAAAGAGAGUUAAACAGUACGUGAAAUUGCUGAAAGGGAAACGCUUGAAGUCAGUCGCGUUGGCCAGGAAUCAACCUUGCUUUUGCUGGGCGUACUUUCUGGUUGACGGGUCAGCAUCAAUUUUGACUGCUGGAGAAAGUUCAAGGGAAUGUGGCAUCUUCGGGUGUGUUAUAGCCCUUGUUCGCAUACAGCAGUUGGGAUUGAGGAACUCAGCACGCCGCAAGGCCGGGUUUCGACCACGUUCGUGCUUAGGAUGCUGGCAUAAUGGCUUUAAUCGACCCGUCUUGAAACACGGACCAAGGAGUCUAACAUGCCUGCGAGUGUUUGGGUGGAAAACUCAAGCGCGCAAUGAAAGUAAAAGUUGAGAUCCCUGUCGUGGGGAGCAUCGACGCCCGGACCAGACCUUUUGUGACGGAUCUGCGGUAGAGCAUGUAUGUUGGGACCCGAAAGAUGGUGAACUAUGCCUGAAUAGGGUGAAGCCAGAGGAAACUCUGGUGGAGGCUCGUAGCGAUUCUGACGUGCAAAUCGAUCGUCAAAUUUGGGUAUAGGGGCGAAAGACUAAUCGAACCAUCUAGUA
rnacentral:rRNA from 1 species